rnacentral:rRNA from 1 species
GUAGUUUGAUCCUGGUUCAGAUUGAACGCUGGCGGCAUGCCUUACACAUGCAAGUCGAACGGCAGCAUGAUCUAGCUUGCUAGAUUGAUGGCGAGUGGCGAACGGGGUGAGUAAUACAUCGGAACGUGCCCCUGUAGUGGGGGGAUAACUAGUCGAAAAGAUUAGCUAAAUACCGCAUACGACCUGAGGGUGAAAGUGGGGGACCGCAAGGCCUCAUGCUAUAGGAGCGGCCGAUGUCUGAUU